GUGAACCCAGGAAAAUCCCUUUCCAUUGCUGGGCCUCUGUUUGCCUUUCUGGAUGGAUGGUACAGUGGUUAAGAGCAAGGUUAAGGCAUGGAUUGGAAUCCAAACCUUAUCCCGUCUUUGUUGUGUGACCUUGAACAGCUGACUUCGUCUCUCUGAACCUUAUGGAGCCAAAAACAGCUCCUAGCUCUUCAGCUAUUUAGAGUGAUGACAAGGAUAAAGGUGGGCCUGUGGAAGUAUUGGCUGAAAUAGAGUGAAGAAGGUCAAAGAAGAGAGGAAAGUCAAGAUUCUUUCUUCCUGAGUGUUUGGAUAGCUCACAUUCCUGGCCAUAAAGGGCUUCCCUACCAGUAGAAUGUCAGGGCUUAGAGUAGAGAGGUAGGAAAGAAGUUGGGUAGAUGACAGGGAUGAACAACUUUUUAAAUCACAGGGCGAAGGUGUCAGUAUCCAAGUGUCUGGAGAGUUUCUUCUGGUAAUGUUUGAGUAGCUUCUAUUGGAUCAAGCAUCCUGUGAAUAACAGCUAUUAACUCUGAAGAAAACAUUUUUAAGAACCCAGUUCUCUGAAAUUACUGGAGAGUGAACGAAAGCAGCAGAUACUGAAGGGGGUUGGAUGAAGCAGGUUUCCUAUUUUGGGUGUUUUUUUUAAUGCUUUCGGCCUAAAGGCAGACCCUGGAAAGUGCCUUGUGGGGUGGCUUAAUCCCAGAUAGAGAUGUUUUAAUUUUUUUGACUUCAAGAACCAGAGGACAGAAUUCAAGGUGAUUAUAGCAUCUACUGAUAGUGGUGGUAGAAUUGCAAAAAGGAAAGAGCCAGAGAGGGGGAGC
rnacentral:lncRNA from 10 species